GAGUCAUCGGUCGGCGGAGCUACGAAAUACACGGCAGGUAAGCAGUUUUUCCCCGGGGCGCCUCGCUGGGCCUCGCGGCAGAGCAUUAACGCGAUUGCCGGAGAGGAGGUUCGCUAUUGGAGGGAUAAACGCAACCUUGUCUCAUCCGGAACACAUAAUCAUCCGGAUCCGAGCGACACCGACGGAUGAUUGGGCUGUCUGUUUAUCCGGCGCGUGAAAUAUGUGUGUUAAGUUUCCCGUAUAUGUGAAUAAAAUGCGCUACCUAAGCUUGUGCCCGCGGAUGACUGGCGAUAAAGAACUCUUACGCAUCACAGCCACAGAUUACAACACGUGCUUCGCUCCUGGUCUUGGUCUUGAUCUUGU